AGAACGAACGCUGGCGACAGGCUUAACACAUGCAAGUCGAACGCGUGUAGCAAUACACGAGUGGCGCACGGGUGAGUAACGCGUGGAUAUCUGCCUUUUGGUUCGGAAUAACCCCGGGAAACUGGGGCUAAUACCGGAUGGUUCCUUCGGGAUAAAGAUUUAUCGCCAAAAGAUGAGUCCGCGUACGAUUAGCUAGUUGGUGAGGUAAUGGCUCACCAAGGCGACGAUCGUUAGCUGGUCUGAGAGGACGAUCAGCCACACUGGGACUGAGACACGGCCCAGACUCCUACGGGAGGCAGCAGUGGGGAAUAUUGGACAAUGGGGGCAACCCUGAUCCAGCCAUGCCGCGUGAGUGAUGAAGGCCUUCGGGUUGUAAAGCUCUUUUGGCGGGGACGAUGAUGACGGUACCGCAGAAUAAGCCCCGGCUAACUCGCGCCAGCAGCCGC
rnacentral:rRNA from 1 species